rnacentral:tRNA from 1 species
AGGAUUAUAGUUUAAAUAAAACAUUUGAUUUGCAUUCAAAAUAUAUUGUUAUAUUAACAAUUUAUCUU